GGACAUAUGCAUCAUAUACUAUGUGAUCACUAAGAUCUUCCUGAACCUUCCUACUCUGAUGUUUGAGGCCAUGAGGAAAACUCUAAAUAGGUCUAAGGCUCAUCUGCCUUAUGGUAUGGCACUCAUCCUGAUCUUUAGGAGGUUCGGAGUUUGUUUUGAGGGGGAGACAGUCACCAAAUUAUCACACUCUGACACCAUCAACCAC
rnacentral:lncRNA from 1 species